GAUGAACGCUGGCGGCGUGCUUAACACAUGCAAGUCGAACGAAGCACUUUACUUGAUUUUCUUCGGAACUGAUUGUAUUGUGACUGAGUGGCGGACGGGUGAGUAACGCGUGGAUAACCUGCCUCACACAGGGGGAUAACAGUUGGAAACGGCUGCUAAUACCGCAUAAGCGCACAGCACCGCAUGGUGCAGUGUGAAAAACUCCGGUGGUGUGAGAUGGAUCCGCGUCUGAUUAGGCAGUUGGCGGGGUAACGGCCCACCAAACCGACGAUGGAUAGGGGUUCUGAGAGGAAGGUCCCCCA
rnacentral:rRNA from 1 species